CAGCCCCUCGAGUGGUGGGGAUGAUUAUUUGGCCUAAAGCGUCCGUAGCCGGCUCUGUAAGUCCCCCGUUAAAUCCAGCGUCUCAAGCGUUGGACUGCGGGAGAUACUACUUGGCUAGAGAGUGGGAGAGGUCAGCGGUAUUCUGGGGGUAGGGGCGAAAUCCUUUGAUCCCCGGAGGACCACCAGUGGCGAAGGCUGCUGACUAGAACACGUCUGACGGUCAGGGACGAAAGCUGGGGUAGCGAACCGGAUUAGAUACCCGAGUAGUCC
rnacentral:rRNA from 1 species